CCGGCGGGCUCGGUGUCAUAUGUGAGUAAAGCAAGACAGCACAGAUACAUUGCUUGGGCUGCCUAAGCAGUGUCUGACCUUGUAUCACAUAUAUACUUUUCAAUGGAAUGAUUCCACUUCAGGUUCCAAUUAUUUUGCUCAAAUCCGCACGUAGUGCUUGGCGUACCGAGAUCAUCU